rnacentral:rRNA from 1 species
GACGAACGCUGGCGGCGUGCUUAACACAUGCAAGUCGAACGGAAAGGCCCUGCUUUUGUGGGGUGCUCGAGUGGCGAACGGGUGAGUAACACGUGAGUAACCUGCCCUUGACUUUGGGAUAACUUCAGGAAACUGGGGCUAAUACCGGAUAGGAGCUCCUGCUGCAUGGUGGGGGUUGGAAAGUUUCGGCGGUUGGGGAUGGACUCGCGGCUUAUCAGCUUGUUGGUGGGGUAGUGGCUUACCAAGGCUUUGACGGGUAGCCGGCCUGAGAGGGUGACCGGCCACAUUGGGACUGCGAUACGGCCCAGACUCCUACGGGAGACAGCAGUGGGGAAUAUUGCACAAUGGUCCGAAGUCUGAUGCAGCAACGCCGCGUUCGGGAUGACGGCCUUCUGGUUGUAAACCGCUUUCGCCUGUGACGAAGCGUGAUUGACGGUAAUGGGUAAAGAAGCACCGGCUAACUACGUG